rnacentral:rRNA from 1 species
CCUACGGGAGGCUGCAGUGAGGAAUAUUGGUCAAUGGACGCAAGUCUGAACCAGCCAUGCCGCGUGCAGGAAGACGGCUCUAUGAGUUGUAAACUGCUUUUAUGCGGGGGUAAACGCAGAUACGCGUAUCUGUCUGAAAGUAUCGUACGAAUAAGGAUCGGCUAACUCCGUGCCAGCAGCCGCGGUAAUACGGAGGAUUCAGGCGUUAUCCGGAUUUAUUGGGUUUAAAGGGUGCGUAGGCGGUCGGUUAAGUUAGAGGUGAAAUCCCGAGGCUCAACUUUGGAAUUGCCUCUGAUACUGGUUGGCUAGAGAGUAGUGGCGGUAGGCGGAAUGCAUGGUGUAGCGGUGAAAUGCUUAGAGAUCACACAGAACACCGAUUGCGAAGGCAGCAUACCAAGGCACUACUGACGUUGAGGCACGAAAGCGUGGGUAGCAAACAGGAUUAGAUACCCCUGUAGUC